rnacentral:rRNA from 1 species
UACGUAGGGUGCGAGCGUUAAUCGGAAUUACUGGGCGUAAAGCGUGCGUAGUCGGUAUUGAGAGUCGCGGGUGAAAUCCCAGGGCUUAACCCUGGAACUGCCUGCGAGACCUCAGUACUAGAGUGUGAGAGGGGAUAGUGGAAUACCCAGUGUAGCGGUGAAAUGCGUAGAGAUUGGGUGGAACACCGGUGGCGAAGGCGGCUAUCUGGCUCACAACUGACGAUCAGGCACGAAAGCGUGGGGAGCAAACAGG